rnacentral:lncRNA from 1 species
AAGGUCCUCACCCUAAGAAUGCUUGGCUGGACCACGGAGUGGGGUCAGGGCCCCUUCCAGGGCACGAACAGGCACUGACACGGCCAGCAGACACGUAGGAGACGGAAAAACUUUGCUCAGUUGGACCGGAGGACCGGGGAGGGGCUGUCGCCACCAACUCUCCCUCGGCCCUGGCAGCCCCAGCCUCACCCCCGCCCGGCUCAUGAGUCAUUGAUGGGAAGAGGAGCUGGGCAAGUCCCAGCGGAGCAACUGGGAGGCUGACGAUGAAGCAGAGGCGAGGGGGAAGGGAUGGGCUCCAGCUGCCCGGCCGGGAGCUGAGCGAGGGGCAGAGUGAGCCUGUUGCUGGGCACCACCAUGCCUGGAUCCUUCUCCACUGGACAGAGCAGGCACUACCUGGAGUAAUCUCCAAGGAGAGGCUGAGUCCCACCGACAGCCGUGCGGGUUUGCAGCUGAGCCCUCAGGUAAGAGCCUCCUUCUACCGAUACUGCCUUGUGGCUCUGUGAGGGGCCCUGAGGCACGGGACCUGGCUGAGCCACACCUGGAUUCCUGACCGUAGAAACCCAGCCCAUAAAUGUGUGUUUUUUUUCAAGCCACUAAGUUUGUGACCAUCUGUUACAGCAAGAGAUAACUAAUACAGACACCUUUUCGGGUUUCUUUGUUACUCCAGUCUUGGCCAGUGCCCUCUUCACGACACUCCACACACUGUUUGGCCUGGCCUUGGGUUACCAUGCUUUCUUUGUCUUUUCCUCUAGGGCCUGGUCCUGUGCCUGGCACUCAGUAUGAGGCUGGGUGACUGAGAUUUUGGAAUUACUUUGCCUCUUUGCCUCCACUUCUCCC